GAAUACAUUUUCGAAAAAACACACAUAUAAAAUAUUGAAGGAUCUUUUAGUCAUGUGCGUGAGCCCAAAGGUGAAAAUAAAGUCAAUCAAUCCAACGCACACAUUUAUUUUCGGAGUCAAGUAGCCCGAACCCUGGUGACUGAAGAUAUAUAGAGAUAAUUGUGUGCUUCUUUCCUAUUUCUCAAUGUGUCAUAGUUCUAACAUUUCUUGCUAGAGACCCAAAAAAAAAAAAUAUUGUAAAAGCUGC
rnacentral:lncRNA from 1 species